UGGGGAAUUUUGGACAAUGGGGGAAACCCUGAUCCAGCCAUCCCGCGUGUGCGAUGAAGGCCUUCGGGUUGUAAAGCACUUUUGGCAGGAAAGAAACGUCGCGGGUUAAUACCCCGCGAAACUGACGGUACCUGCAGAAUAAGCACCGGCUAACUACGUGCCAGCAGCCGCGGUAAUACGUAGGGUGCAAGCGUUAAUCGGAAUUACUGGGCGUAAAGCGUGCGCAGGCGGUUCGGAAAGGAAGAUGUGAAAUCCCAGAGCUUAACUUUGGAACUGCAUUUUUAACUACCGGGCUAGAGUGUGUCAGAGGGAGGUGGAAUUCCGCGUGUAGCAGUGAAAUGCUGAAGAUAUGCGGAGGAACACCGAUGGCGAAGGCAGCCUCCUGGGAUAACACUGACGCUCAUGCACGAAAGCGUGGGGAGCAAACAGGAUUAGAUACCCUGGUAGUCCACGCCCUAAACGAUGUCAACUAGCUGUUGGGGCCUUCGGGCCUUGGUAGCGCAGCUAACGCGUGAAGUUGACCGCCUGGGGAGUACGGUCGCAAGAUUAAAAACUCAAAGG
rnacentral:rRNA from 1 species